GAUCCACUUCGCCUCUCGAGCGGGAAGAGCCGAGAAGGGUCGAGAAGCCUCUCGAGCCGAGCGUGCGAAUGGUCUGCGCGCCAUUCUCCGGAGAAAGAUUGUGAAGCUCUUCUCCGGAGAAAGAUUGUGAAGCUCUUCUCCGGAGUCGAAGGAUUCGGGGGAGAGAGAGAAGGGAAGGAAAGAAAGAAAGGGUUCGCAGAUCGAUUCGCCGUUACUCUCACCAGGGUUAUGUUUGAGUUCCUUUUGUUCGUUCUGAUCUGGGAGGGGGUUGCGGAAUCGGCUUAUGGGGUGAACCAAAGUGCGUGGGGCGAGGGAAAUGGGGUAAAAUGGGAGCGGAAGCUGCUCUCUCAUGGGAGGAUUGAGCAGAGAUUACUAGACUCGUCGUUUCCCGCUUCUUCGCAGCCAUCAGACAACGCAGGAAGAACACUUGUGGUGUGUAGGAUAACGCAGGAUGGACUCCUAUGGAUAUCAACGCAGCUGAUGUUGGAAAAACAGGAUGGAGAUGAAAAUAAGAGUCUGCAGACUGAUAAAUGGAGAAAUCAGUUCCCAUGGCCAAUAAUCUGGAUUCCUGGUGAUCAUAAAUCAGAAGAUGCAGUAAAAGAUUUGGUGGUGAGAAAAUUUGAUCAAAAUGUUGAAGAAAAAUCACCCUCAAAGUUAAAAACCAUUCCAUUAAAACUUCUUGAGGAUAGCACUGUGGUGAAUUACUAAGAAAUGUGGAGGACAAGCGCAAAACUCUUGGGCAUCGAGAAGCAUUAGCUGAGAAAGAAAGAAGAACUAAGAUCAUCCCUGUUAGGCAUAUAGAAGAGGACAUGGAUGAGAAGCACAAAAUUAAGGAGAAGGACAAUUCCCUUAGAAUACCUAAAAAACAAGAGAAUGGAGUUAACAAGUCAUUAGAUAGCAAACAAUUGUCACAGAUCAAGACAUUAACGUUACCUUCUAUAUGUUGAGAGUGGAUCCACUGGCAAGGAAGAAGAUGGUAAAUGGCACAUCGAGGUCUCCUAGUCCACCAGUCCUUAAGGUCAAUGAGAAAGCCAACAAGGACAAAACAGAAAGAGAACAGCAAACAGUAAAAGAUAAGAAGGAACAGAUACCUAAAAAAGAGAUUCAGGCAGCAGAACCUUAUGUUAAAUUGUCAAAUGAAGCAGAAAAUUCAAAAAAGAAAAGUCAGGCAAUGAUGACAACUAAUCUAAAUGAAGAAACUGCUAAGAUUAUGAAUGAUCAACAGUCCAACAAAGGAGCAGGACUCAAGGUUAUGAAGGUCAAGACAGUAGAGAUACUAGAAGGAGGAUGAUCAACAACCAAUUGAUAAAGCACCACGUGAACUCGACGAGGGGAAGAGGCAUAUGGAGAGCACAGAAAGCAUAAUUACUGAUGGAAAGAAGGCAACGAAAAUUUUGUCACAGGAAGAUGCAGCAGUUCUUAUUCAAUCUGCUUAUAAAGGAUUUGAGGUGAGAAGAUCACAACCUCUUGAGAAGCUACGAAAAGUACAUCAAAUUCGUCAACAAAUUGAGGUGGCGAAGAACAAAAUUCAAAUGUUUGAAUCCUCCUCCACAGACCAAGAUUUGAAACACAAGGUUGCAGCAAGUGAGACCAUAAUGAAUCUUCUGUUGCAGCUGGAUACCAUUCAGGCGUUGCGCCAAAGUGUCGGAGACCUGAGAAAGUCAGUUGCUAGGGAGCUAACCAUUCUUCAAGAAAAGCUUGAUUCGCUAGGCAGUCCAGUCGUCGUGGGACACGAAAAGAUGAAACUUAAACACCCCAGUCACACAGUUUCUGAUUGUGGAGCUACCUCUGCGACUGACCCAUCUGUUACUACCCAUUUGGUGCCGGAAAAUGUCAUCACAAUCAGCUGAGGCAACUUGUUCGUUGGAGAUAACAUCUGCGGAUGGAAAGGAAGCAACUAUCCAACGACAGAGAGAUCUAAAACUGUUAGUGACUGAAUCUCGAGAUUUUGCAACUGGAUCAAAUAAUUUCAAAUCAUCGAACAGCAUAAAGAAAUAGCUUUUAUGAAAUAGCAAUUUGCUUCUGCGGUGAGGGACGCAAUUGAAUCACAUGCUGUGGGGAAAGAACAAUCCUUUGGAUUGGAAGAUGCAAUAAAGAUUGUAGCAUCUACUUCUCAAGAAGUCUUAGAGGCGGCACCCUCUACCUCUGUAGAUGAGGUGGCAAAACUUGAGACAGACAAGCAUCUAGAAUGUCAAGGGACCAACUCUUUUCUCAAACAGGUGAGAGAUGAGCUGUCCGGUUCUAAAGCUGGAAUUAGUGAGAAGAUUGAUGUUGAAUUGGAGAAACCAAUAAUGCACUUGGUAGAGGGAGAAGCUACCAAAGUGGCAUCUGAGGAAUCAAAGCUUUCUUUUAGAACAACUAACCCUGAAUCAGUGUGGCGUGUAGAACGCACAGCUGCAGUCUGCAUCAAGGAAACUGUUUCACAGGGUGAUGAAGUUGAUACCAAGCUGGAGGAUCUUCAGGUGCCUGAAUUGCAAAACCCGGACCUUGUUGAGAAGACAGUGGGAGAUACAGAUGACCUCCGCAUAGUCACAGAAGUUCCAUGCUUUGAACAUGCUGUCCCCAUCACUGGUGUCACCGACAAUGGAAACGCUCAAAUGCCUAGUUGGCAACUUAGAAAAGCAGGCAGCAGAUACUGACAGGAUGGGUACACUCCUUAUGGUUCCAACUUACAACGAAGGUCAUUCACUGGGAGCUUUUGAACCUGGCCAAGAGAAUGGAAUCAGUCCAAUGCUGUUGCCUGAUGCCAUCAGUAUUAUUAAAAAUGAAGACAUUUCUUCGGAUUAAACAUUUCGAGCAAACAUUGAUGUAGAAGGGACAGAUGGGUCUGGCUGGAUCAGAUCCAAGGCUGCUUCCUGAUGCAGCAAAUAUAAAAAAAGAUGAAUGUAUCUAUCUCUACGGCUGAUACAUUCGAAACCAAUGUCAAUGAAGUUGAUGGUGCAGCUUCAGAUCAAGAAAGCAUGUCUUUUAGCAGACCCGACUCUCUAGCUCGAGGUAAGGCUGAAGGUUUGGCUCAUUCGGCAAAGCUGAAUGGUAUUGCUCCUGAUGUCCAUUUAAGCAAGGAAGAGAAUGAAAAGUUAAGAGAAAUGUCAGAGAGGCUGCUUGAGGCACUGCUGGGAGUCAUUGCCGAUGUUAAUGGAAGAGUCAAACGACUUGGAGAGAAAACUCUCGCAACAGUAAAGGUGCAAGGUAAAAAAGUUUCAGACCAAAAAUGAACCCUCCUCCCAUAAAAGCUGCAUCAUCCGCUAAUAAUGUGAAAGUUGCAGCUUAAGAUAUCUGUAUACAUAUGCAGGAUACGAUAAGUAUAAAAUGAAGUGGUUCCCACCCCCACCUUUUUUUUUUUGCUUCAUCUUUGUAUGUACCAAAUGGAUUGAAGAAUGUGCAUGCUUUUCUAUUGUAACACCGUGGUGUUUCUUCUCUAGUAUCCUUUGGGAAUGUCCAUGCUUUUGUUUGUAAUCCUGGGACUUUUGUCUCCCAUUAUUUUCAUGCCAUGUUCUCUUUCUCCUUC